rnacentral:rRNA from 1 species
UACGUAGGGAGCAAGCGUUGUCCGGAAUCAUUGGGCGUAAAGCGUGCGCAGGCGGUUUGCUAAGAGAGAUGUGAAAUCCCCGGGCUUAACCUGGGAACUGCGUUUCUAACUGGCAGGCUUGAGUGUGGCAGAGGGGGGUGGAAUUCCACGUGUAGCAGUGAAAUGCGUAGAUAUGUGGAGGAACACCGAUGGCGAAGGCAGCCCCCUGGGCUAACACUGACGCUCAUGCACGAAAGCGUGGGGAGCAAACAGG